UACGUAGGGUGCAAGCGUUAAUCGGAAUUACUGGGCGUAAAGCGUGCGCAGGCGGUUAUGUAAGACAGUUGUGAAAUCCCCGGGCUCAACCUGGGAACUGCAUCUGUGACUGCAUAGCUAGAGUACGGUAGAGGGGGAUGGAAUUCCGCGUGUAGCAGUGAAAUGCGUAGAGAUCGGGCGGAACACCAGCGGCGAAGGCGGCAUCCUGGCCCGUACCUGACGCUGAGGCGCGAGAGCGUGGGGAGCAAACCGG
rnacentral:rRNA from 1 species